rnacentral:rRNA from 1 species
GGAUUAGGCAUGCAAGUCGCACGAGAAAGGCUUCUUCGGAAGCCGAGUAAAGUGGCGAACGGGUGAGUAAUGCAUAGACAACUCGCCCUUGAGAUGGGGACAACGCCUCGAAAGGGGUGCUAAUACCCAAUGCCGCCUUGGGCCUGCGGGUCCAGGGUGAAAGGAGGCCUCUGAUUCAAGCUUCCGCUCAAGGAGUGGUUUAUGUCCUAUUAGCUAGUCGGCGGGGUAACGGCCCACCAAGGCUGCGAUGGGUAGCCGACCUGAGAGGGUGACCGGCCACAUUGGGACUGAGACACUGCCCAGACUCCUACGGGAGGCUGCAGUCGAGAAUCUUCCGCAAUGCGCGCAAGCGUGACGGAGCGACGCCGCGUGGGUGAUGAAGGCCUUCGGGUUGUAAAACCCUGUCAGCUACUACGAAACACGGGCGAUGAACAAUCGUCCCGUCUGACUUAAGUAGCAGAGGAAGCACCGGCUAACUACGUGCCAGCAGCCGCGGUAAUACGUAGGGUGCGAACGUUGUUCGGAAUCACUGGGCAUAAAGGGCGCGUAGGCGGUCUGAUAAGUCAGGUGUGAAAUCCCUCGGCCUAACCGAGGAACUGCAUUUGAUACUGUCGGGCUAGAGUACAGGAGGGGAGAGUGGAAUUCCUGGUGGAGCGGUGAAAUGCGUAGAUAUCAGGAGGAACGCCGGCGGCGAAAGCGACUCUCUGGCCUGUUACUGACGCUGAGGCGCGAAAGCUAGGGGAGCAAACGGGAUUAGAUACCCCGGUAGUCCUAGCCCUAAACGAUGGGCACUAAGUAGAGGGGUUUU